rnacentral:rRNA from 1 species
GCAAGUCGAGGGGUAACGGGGUGCUUGCACCGCCGACGACCGGCGCACGGGUGCGUAACGCGUAUACAAUCUACCUUUUGCUGAGGAAUAGCCCAGAGAAAUUUGGAUUAAUGCCUCAUAGUAUGUCGACCUCGCAUGAGAAUGAUAUUAAAGGUUACGGCAAAAGAUGAGUAUGCGUUCUAUUAGCUAGAUGGUGUGGUAACGGCUUACCAUGGCAACGAUAGAUAGGGGUCCUGAGAGGGAGACC